UGCCUUUAGCCAUUAUUUAAGGUUAAACCUGCUCAAUGAGUUAGAUUAAAUAGCCGCAGUACAUUGACUGUGCAAAGGUAGCAUAAUCAAUUGGCUUAUAAUUGAAGUCUAGUAUGAAUGGGAAUCCGGGGAAUAGCUUUCUCAAUUAAGAUUAUAUAAAUUACUAAAUGAGUGAAAAGUCUCAUAGUAAGAAGAAAGACGAGAAGACCCUAGAAAUUUUGUUAAAUAUAUAUACUAUAUAUUAUUUUGUUGGGGCGACAUGGUAACAUAUAACUUACUAUACUAUACAAGCUACUAAUAAGUUGUGAGAAUAAAUUACUCUAGGGAUAACAGCAUUAUUCAUAGUGAGUUUAUGACCUCGAUGUUGGACUAGGAAAUAAUUUCUUUAGAAGAUAAAUUAAUAGGCUCUGUUCGAGCUUUGUAUUCCUAC
rnacentral:rRNA from 1 species